GGGCCGAAUAUCCAAGGUUUCCAGAGUAAAGCUGAUCUGCUCUGGGUAAGUCGGGGCCUAAGGCGAGGACGAGAGUCGUAGCCGAUGGACAACAGGUGGAGAUUCCUGUACUGCGGUAUGACAGAACUGUGGGGACACGUAAGGAAAGCGGAAGCCGGGAAUGGAAAGCCCGGUGCAAGCGGGGUACCAGUCACUUUGGCAAAUCCGGGUGGCAAUGGGAAGCCGUGAUGCGGAGCGAAAUAAAGUAGCGAAGUCCGUGAGCCAUGCGUCAAGAAAAGCCGCUAUCGUUUAUACCGUACCCGUACCGUAAACCGACACAGGUGGAUGAGGAGAGAAUCCUAAGGCCGGCGGAAGAAGCAUUGUCAAGGAACUCGGCAAAAUGGCCCCGUAACUUAGGGAUAAGGGGUGCCUGGGAAACCAGGCCGCAGAGAAUAGGCUCAAGCAACUGUUUAGCAAAAACACAGGUCUAUGCGAAACCGAAAGGUGAGGUAUAUGGGCUGACGCCUGCCCGGUGCUGGAAGGUUAAGAGGAGAGGUUAGCGGUAACGCGAAGCUUUGAAUUUAAGCCCCAGUAAACGGCGGCCGUAACAAUAACGGUCCUAAGGUAGCGAAAUUCCUUGUCGGGUAAGUUCCGACCCGCACGAAAGGCGUAAUGAUUUGAGCGCUGUCUCGACAAUGCAUCCGGUGAAAUUGAAGUACCAGUGAAGAUGCUGGUUACCUGCGCCAGGACGGAAAGACCCCAUGGAGCUUUACUCCAGUCUGGUACUGGGACUCGGUAUUGCAUGUACAGGAUAGGUGGGAGGCUAGGAGAUGGUAACGCCAGUUGCCAUGGAGCCGCUGUUGGGAUACCACCCUUGCAGUAUUGGGUUUCUAACCAGCCGCCGUGACCCGGCGGUGGGACAAUGCCAGACGGGGAGUUUGACUGGGGCGGUCGCCUCCGAAAGGGUAUCGGAGGCGCCCAAAGGUUCCCUCAGAAUGGACGGAAACCAUUCGAAGAGUGCAAAGGCAGAAGGGAGCUUGACUGCGACACCGACGGGUGGAGCAGGUACGAAAGUAGGGCUUAGUGAUCCGGUGGUAUUAAGUGGGAAUGCCAUCGCUCAACGGAUAAAAGCUACCCUGGGAUAACAGGCUUAUCACUCCCAAGAGUUCACAUCGACGGAGUGGUUUGGCACCUCGAUGUCGGCUCAUCGCAUCCUGGGGCUGUAGUAGGUCCCAAGGGUUGGGCUGUUCGCCCAUUAAAGCGGUACGCGAGCUGGGUUCAGAACGUCGUGAGACAGUUCGGUCCCUAUCCGGCGUGGGCGUAGGAUAUCUGAGAGGAGCUGUCCUUAGUACGAGAGGACCGGGAUGGACGGGCCGCUGGUGCAUCGGUUAGACUGCCAAGUCUACGGCCGAGUAGCCAAGCCCGGAAGGGAUAAACGCUGAAGGCAUCUAAGCGUGAAGCCCCCCUUAAGAUGAGAUAUCCCAUUCGAAAGAAGUAAACCCCCUUGAAGACGACGAGGUAGAUAGGGCAGAGGUGGAAGUGCAGUAAUGCAUGGAGCUGACUGUUACUAAUCGGGUGAGGGCUUGAUC
rnacentral:rRNA from 1 species